rnacentral:rRNA from 1 species
CUGAGGCGUGAUGACGAGGCACUACGGUGCUGAAGCGACAAAUGCCCUGCUUCCAGGAAAAGCCUCUAAGCAUCAGGUAACAUCAAAUCGUACCCCAAACCGACACAGGUGGUCAGGUAGAGAAUACCAAGGCGCUUGAGAGAACUCGGGUGAAGGAACUAGGCAAAAUGGUGCCGUAACUUCGGGAGAAGGCACGCUGAUAUGUAGGUGAAGCGACUUGCUCGUGGAGCUGAAAUCAGUCGAAGAUACCAGCUGGCUGCAACUGUUUAUUAAAAACACAGCACUGUGCAAACACGAAAGUGGACGUAUACGGUGUGACGCCUGCCCGGUGCCGGAAG